GAGGUAGUUGUAAAAGAUACAAAGAGCUACCUCAGUUCAGGAUUCACACAUUAGUCAGAACAUGGAGCCUCAUGUCUUCAUGGGACCAUUCAUACAAAAAUGAAGUUUCAGCCUCUAACAUAAGAAAGGAAAAGAUCAAGAGCUCACACAGCAUUCGUGCAAUAAUAGAGUACUUCUGGUGUAUCCACAACAUGGCCCCUGCUUGCAUCACACUGUUCUGUGUAUGUUCAUGCAUGAGUGGCUGUAGGAACAGAGGCAUGGCUACGUAAGGAGCAUGAUACAGACAUAAAAGACAGAGUGGCUUCCCAUAUGGAUUCUGGAUAAAAGGACGUGAGAACUGAAGUAGUAACUAUGGUACUGAUGGAGACACUGUUCUGCUCUGGGCUCCUUUAGAUGUCAUGCUCCUCAGAAGAGCCUCCUACUGUGGGCAUAUGUCUUAGAAGCCCCAUUGGACCUUAUCAAACUUCCCACAUUCUGUUGUCUUGUUUUAGAUCUGAACUUCACAGAAUCACAGGGGAUGGCACUGUACCCUUCUGUGCUGAAAAGAGCUUGAGAAGAAAACUGCAUGAUACAACAAGUAGAGAAGUGGGAAAGGGUAAAGGAACAAUCUUCCAUGGAAGUGCUCAGAGACAAGUAUUUGUUUCGGAGGAGCUAGAAAGGAAGCUGAAGCACUAAGAAACUGUGAUACAUUUGUUAGCCUUUUGUUAUCCAAGCUCAAGAAGUCCUAUGUCCACAGCUGGCAGAAGACCUCUUAACACACAGCAUAACAGCACCCUGCUGAAGAAGGGGGAUCCAUGUAAGAAAGGCAAUCGCUUGAAAAAAAUGCUGUCACAGUCAAUAAUUAAGCUGUGUAACUGUGCAAAUACAGAUAACUUUGUAUGCCACAAACUCUGUUUCCUGCUGGGAAAAUUAGCAGUGACUGAGGGGUGCCUCUGUGUCAGCAACAGGAAAGCAUGAGGCUUAUUUAAAUAUGUGCAAUGGAAAACGAGAUGGGGACAUAAAACACAAUUGGCUGCUGAGGUUCUAGAUGACAGUGGGAUAUAUCAAUUUCAUUAAGAGAUUUGUUGAAACCCCUGUUUGUGUCUUUGUUAGACACUACCUUGCUGUAUGUCUGUUAUUUAUUUUACUUUUCCAGGUUAAGUGCAGCAAGACAGCAAUACAGUCCAAAGGAAUAGUAGCAGGGGAAGAGGAGAUCAGUGGAUAAGAGAGAUCCCCAGUGAAAAUUCCCACCUCACAUCAGCUUCCAGGCUAACAAAGGUUUGUAAGUGCUAGUUUCAGGCACACGACUCCCAUCCUGCCCAUGGGUCUAUCGUGAGCAGUAGUUGGCUUGAAUUCCAAGAAACUAUACUCCAGAUGUUAACUCCAGAUGAGAUUGUGCAAUGUGAAAAGGGUGACAGUUUCUCUAAAAACUAGAUUGCCCUGCUCCCAUCUAUUGCUUCCAGGUCAACCGUAGCAUUGUACCAUCAGAUUUGUUUACUCAGUUCAGGAUAACGGUCUAUUAAAGAAAAUAUUUGGCAUAUUCUGUCACUGUUAGCUAUUGACACAAGAUGCAAUCCUGCAAUUGCUUUACCUUUUUACAGAAAAGAGAGACAAGUGGUAUCUAUAUGGAAAGGCCACCCCUAGUUUUCAAACUUGCUCAUGCUGUUACUAAGAGAUUCCACUUUUUGAACCUAAAGACCUCUAUUACCCUCAUUCGCUAUUAUAUGCCAUCCCUGUGGGAACAAGUCAUUACUUACAUGGAAACAUAACGUUAGAAAAGAAUGAAACAUUUCUAGCAGCUUUGAGUCCAGUUUGGUGGGUUAAGAAAAAGGUGAACCAUCCCCACGAAAUGAGUUUGUUCUCCAAUAACCAGUUUAAUAUAUGUAUAUUCUGAGAGGGAAUGUUCUGGUGGUGGGCAAAUGGAUAAAAAUUGCCCAUUGUAUCAUUUUUUUUUUCUUCCCCCCCCAAGCUUUCUAUGCAGUAACACUUACUCCUCACCAGAACUACUAUGUUCUUCUGAGUUUCAGGUUCAUAUUCUAAUGGAUUUCAGGUGCAUAACUGAAAUCAGCUGGGAGACAGAAACCUAAAUAGUUUUGAGUAUUGGGCCUAAUAGUUACAUGUAUAUCCUCAACUCCAGGUAUUUCCGGAAUAGAAAAAAAAAAAGUCAAAUAAAUUUUAAGAUGCAGA
rnacentral:lncRNA from 1 species